UAGGGAAUCUUGGACAAUAGGCGAAAGCCUGAUCCAGCAAUGCCGCGUGCACGAUGAAGGUCUUCGGAUUGUAAAGUGCUUUUAGAAGGGAGGAGUAAGGACAGUACCUUCUGAAUAAGCCUCGGCGAACUACGUGCCAGCAGCCGCGGUAAGACGUAGGAGGCAAGCGUUAUCCGGAUUUAUUGGGCGUAAAGCGCGUGCAGGCGGUUUGGUAAGUUGGAUGUGAAAUCUCUUGGCUUAACCGGGAGAGGUCGUUCAAAACUGCCAGACUAGAGAGUGGUAGAGGAAGGUGGAAUUUCGGGUGUAGUGGUGAAAUGCGUAGAUAUCCGGAGGAACACCAGUGGCGAAAGCGGCCUUCUGGACCAUUUCUGACGCUAAGAUGCGAAAGCUAGGGUAGUAAACGGG
rnacentral:rRNA from 1 species